rnacentral:rRNA from 1 species
AUUGAACGCUGGCGGCAUGCCUUACACAUGCAAGUCGAACGGUAACAGGUCUUCGGAUGCUGACGAGUGGCGAACGGGUGAGUAAUACAUCGGAACGUGCCCGAUCGUGGGGGAUAACGGAGCGAAAGCUUUGCUAAUACCGCAUACGAUCUACGGAUGAAAGCAGGGGACCGCAAGGCCUUGCGCGGACGGAGCGGCCGAUGGCAGAUUAGGUAAUUGGUGGGAUAAAAGCUUACCAAGCCGACGAUCUGUAGCUGGUCUGAGAGGACGACCAGCCACACUGGGACUGAGACACGGCCCAGACUCCUACGGGAGGCAGCAGUGGGGAAUUUUGGACAAUGGGCGAAAGCCUGAUCCAGCCAUGCCGCGUGCAGGAUGAAGGCCUUCGGGUUGUAAACUGCUUUUGUACGGAACGAAAAGACUCUUUCUAAUAAAGAGGGUCCAUGACGGUACCGUAAGAAUAAGCACCGGCUAACUACGUG